GGGGCAAAGCCCUGGUCUUGCCAUGGCGCCAGGCCUAUGCCCAGUAUGGUGCUAGAGGCACAAAAAAUCCUGAUAUGAGGGGGAAAAAUGUGUCUCUAGGAUUAAAACAAUCUUAGGUAUUGUGGCACCAGGAAAGGCAGAGCCAAAGGGAAUGUUGUCUGGAGAGCUUGGGGGCUCCAUGUCUCAUGGGCAUGGCAGGAAAGACUCCACACUUCCACAGGGAAGACUCCAACUUCCAGGUGUCCUAAAAAUGGGCUGAUUUAACCCAUUGCUGAGCCAGAAGUUCAAGAUCUUUGAGUGCAAGUGUUUAGGGCCUGACCCAGCACCACUUGGCCCCAGGUCCAUGGCACAGGGCAGGGGGAAGCAGCUGCUAUGUUGUGAGGUGGUGUCUCCCUCAGGGCUGUGCUGUGGGUGUUGGGCAGGGUCACCCUCAGCCCUCCAGGGUGGGACUGAGCAGGUAAAACCUUAUUGUUGUUCCCCUGGGUGGGGCCUGAGCUGUGUGCACAGUGAGGGGUAUCUGUGUGGACUGGGAGCUGAUAUGCUGGGGCUGCACUCCAUGGUGGCCCCUCAGGGUGGGGGGAGGUAGCUGCCUGAGGGGCAAAGAGCUUUAAUUUUCCCCCAUCUCUGAAAAGAAAGACCUAGAUAUUUAAUAUAUAACUGGUCCUCUAAAUGUACCCUUAGGUGCUUCCAAACAAGCUCUGCCCCAAGGCUUGCAUGUCUAGGUCAUCCUCUCCUUGCCCACAACUCCAUUUUCCCCUGCUUCACCCCAGCCCACCCCAGCCACUGCUCCACCCCAAACUCAAAUGCUCCUUUGGUACAGUGGAAGAAGGAAGGGACUCAGAACCCCACUGGGCUGUGGGAUCCCCCUGGGUUAUGGAGUGCACUACAGCCUCUCUCUGCCACAGGGAGUCAGAGGGUGUCCCCAGCACUGCAAUCCGAGAAAUCUCACUGCUGAAGGAGCUGAAGCACCCUAACAUAGUCAGGCUCCUAGAUGUCAUACACAGCCAGAAGAAGCUCUAUAUAGUGUUUGAGUAUCUGAAUCAGGACCUCAAGAAGUACAUGGACUCAUGCCAAGCUGGAGAGCUUCCUUUAAGCUUGGUCAAGAACUACCUUUUCCAGAUGCUGCAGGGUGUGAGCUUCUGCCACUCACACAGGGUCAUCCACAGGGACUUGAAGCCACAGAACUUGCUCAUUAACGAAGCAGGAGCAAUCAAGCUGGCUGAUUUUGGACUGGCAAGAGCUUUUGGGGUCCCCCUACGCACAUACACUCAUGAGGUGGUGACUCUGUGGUACCGAGCCCCCGAGAUACUGCUGGGAUGCAGAUACUACUCGACCCCUGUGGAUAUCUGGAGCAUUGGCUGCAUCUUUGCAGAAAUGAUGACCAGGAAGGCCCUGUUUCCAGGGGACUCUGAGAUUGACCAGCUCUUCCAGAUCUUUCGCACCCUGGGCACUCCCACCGAGGUGACCUGGCCUGGUGUGACCCAGCUCCCUGACUACAAGGGCAGCUUUCCCCGGUGGCCAAGGAAGGAGAUGAAGGACAUUGUUCCAAAUUUAGAUCGAGAUGGGAGAGACUUACUGACACAAUUACUCCUGUAUGAUCCCAGCAAGCGCAUCUCAGCCAAAGCAGCCCUCAACCAUCAGUACUUCCUCUGCAGAAAUGCUGGGAGCCCUGAACAGCGACCUGUGCUGUGGAGAGACUGCAGAUGAGAGGAGACAGCUCUCCCCAAGCUCUUGCACCUCCAGGUAGCACUGCAGAUCUGGUCUGGGGCACUUAGCAGAGGCUUGGCUGGAGCCCAGGGUCUUUGUUCUCCUGAGGAGCCUGGAAGGGGACGUUCUUGCCAUUUAGAGACUUUCAGUCUGUUGUUGGGGGAAAGUUUGGGUUACAGCCAGGAGAGCUGUUUUGAAGAGGUCAUAUACAAAAGGUGGGGGUAAUUUAUCAGCAUAAACUACUGAAAGGUAGAGAAGAGAGCAUCUCUCUGAGGUUUAUUCUUCCACGAGUGAGCUAAGGUGACACACAGUGACUUCUGUCUCCAGCACUGGAGCAUCCCUGGGUCUGUUGGUGGCCGUUGCUAGCACCAGGGAAGGGGGGACGCUUUGCUGCUCAGCGCUUUGCUGCUGUUGUCAGCCAGGCUUCUCAGCACUAGACAAGCUGUUUAGGCUGAGCUGUUUAACAGAGCUGACAUCCUGCUCUUUCACAAGCUGAAGAGCACUAUCAGGUGUCAGUUUGUGCCUUAGCUGGGACCAAGAAGCCAAAAGAUCCAGUUAGCAUAAAGCAGAUCCAGUUAGGAUAAAACACUUGCUGCAUAUGGCUGGAAACAGGCAGCAGCUAAACCACUGGCUUUCCAUCAUCAUUCCAGAUGUAAUGAUGUUUCCUUUGCUUUAUUGACUUGGAAAUGUUUUUGCUGUUCAAAGGUUUGGGGGAUUGUCUCUGACUCUUGGUGUGGUGUUGACAUCUUAAUUUCUUUUUCUUCUGUAUAAAAUAAAUACUCGUCAUUUGUUCAGAAACCUUGGUGUUAUUGUUUUGGCAAAGCUCAGAAGGCUGGUGAUGCAGGACAGCCUGGCUGGUCCUUUUUCCCAAAGAGCCUUUCCCCCUUUUUCAUCUUCUGCACUCAUCCUUUCCAGCCCAAAUCCUUGGCAGGUACAGAGAUGUGCUCUCAGUCCUGUUGUGGACCUGGUACCAAAAGUGUUAAUCCAAUUUCUGCUGUGUCUGCAUGUUUUUAGCAAAGAAACAGAGUAUGCAGGAGAUGCUUUCUCAUCAAGGACAGAGGGAAGAUAAGGGGAAGACAUCUGCCUUAGGAAUGCAGCUAUAGCCAAAACAAGAUUCUAGAAAAAACAGAACCUGGGAACAUGGGGAAGGUUUUAUGGUAAUGAACAAUUAUAAUACACAUGUGGUGACUGUAUAUAAGCCACAUGCUUGUAGUGAAUCGUGUGCACACCAGAUGGAGCUUAUCCCCUGUGCACCAGGCCUGUGAUAACUUCUUAAUGCUACCUUGGUGUUAAAGGGUUUUAUUUUACUUGCUUUUUGGUGAAUUUUGGUGACAGUUAUUGGCCACCCAGAUGGGAGCUAACCUCUGAGCCUCGACGGAUCUGCAGUCGACAGAUCUCCAACUGGCACCGAGGGGUUCUCGGGGAGAACCUCGGCCUCAGACCGCCAGGGGCUCGAGGCAAGAUCCCUGGGGUGAGUAAAGGCAUCAUUUAAAUUGUUUAUUUGGGGUUAUUGACGAGAGGUACGAAUCCCCUCACAGAGUUACUGGUGAGGGGUUUGAGUCGCCCAACAGGGUUUGAGUCCCUGGGAAAGCUCACUGUGUGGGACUUCGAGUCCCCAAGGACUACUGGGGCUUCCAGUCCCUCAGGACUAGGGGAUUUGAGUUCCCUCUGAGGAGUUCCCCUGAAGCAGGAAACUCAGUGUUGUAGCUGGUCAAGGAGAAAAAAAUAGGUUCAUAACACCAGAGCCAAAGCAUUGCUGUACUUGCUUUUGUGGUGGAGUGCACUUAGAUACUCUGAAUUCUUUCUGGUCUCUGGCAGUGUGAGUGUGAGUGGGUUGUGUUGAUUUCAUUUUGCCGGCCUGCAAAAUCAGCAGAGACGCCUGUGAUAUAAAGCUCGUUUGCUGGAAGAGUGUUGAAACUUAACUGACUGUUGGGGUUUCGAAGCAAUCGGGGGUGUGUGCUAUCGAUUACCGAUUUGUUUUCUGCGUGCGCGGCUGAAAUACAAUUGUGGAUGCGAAGCGCCCUCUCGUGCCAGUGCGCGCAGGAUUCCCGGCGCGAGUGGGAGCGGGCGGGAGGGCAGGGACACCCCCAACUGCAGCUCAGCCGUUCCCCCGCCGUCACCUUGGCUCGGGGAGGAGGAGGAGGAGGGAGAAGAAACCCAACAGACUCGCAGCACAGCAGCCCGGGCCCGGCUCGGCGUGUUCUUGCCUGCUCCAGCACCAGCCGCCUGGGCAGCGCCACCCGCCCGCUGCAGCCCAGAGCCUUGGGCUCCCCGCGCCCAGCCUGGGGAUCACAUACACAUCCAGAUCUGGAAACCUGAGCCACUUCAGGAGCAGUGGAAAGGACCUUAUCUGGUUCAGCUGACUACAAGACCAGCUGUGAAAGGAAUUACCUCCUGGACACAUUGCAGCUGAAUUCAGAGGUCUCCUGACUCAGAGCAGACAGUGGAAAACACCGGAGCCUUGCAGCUGAAAAUGUUGAAGACAUCUGUAAAUGAGCAAUGAAAUGUAUAGACUAAUAUUUAUGGGAAUUAUUUUAUCUUUAGGUGGAGGUGUUGAAGAAAAUUUAAUAUUGGCUUGAAUUUGGUUUGGUAAGAUGCACAAUCUGUACAGUAGUACAGCCUGCCUCCCUAUCCCAAAUUCAGCAGGGGAACCUAUUCCUUGGGAAAUUAUCCUUAUAAAUCUGUCAGUGGUGAUUCAUCAUGAUAAUCUGACAUUACAAACCAGAAUGACCUAUUGCUGGCCAAAGAGGGCUGUGAAUAUUUAAAAUUGGAUAUAGAACAUUGUUGUGUACACAUCCCAAAUGUAACAGAAGAUCUCCAAAGACCACUAAACCUGGCCAGUUGCUGAGGAUAGCAAUGCUAUCUUGAAACUAAUUGGUUCAAUAAAAUUCUUCAAGGAACAGUGUCAUGGCCCCUGAAAGGAAGGCUGGCUGGAAUAGUGGAAACCAUUGUAAUUGUGAUUGUCAUUGUAAUAAUUAUCAGCAUUGCUAUUGGUUGUGUUUGCAAAAUGAUCAGACAUAAUUGUAUGGGAAUAUAGGUGACUAGAGAUAGAAAUUGAGUUGGAACUUAUCAAAUGGCCUUAAGGAAUUUGAGGUGUUUCAAAAGGGGGAAUUGAUACCAGAAGGGUUAUCCAGUUUCUGUUCUGUCUUUGUUCUUUUAGCAAAAAGAAAUGGGGUAUGCAGUAGCUGCUUUCUCAGCAAGGACCUAUUGAAUUCCUAAAACAUCUGGCUUAGGAAUGCAGCUACAGCCAAAACAAGACUAUAAAAAAACCUGAACCUGGGAGCAUGGGAAGGGUUUUAUGGUAAUGGGCACUUACAAUAUGCAUGUGGUGACUGUGUAUAAGCAAGGCACUUGUAGAGAAUGGUGUGCACGCUGGGUGGAGCUUAUUCUGUAAUAAAUGAUGGCUCCUCUUAACACGA